UGGGGAAUAUUGGACAAUGGGCGCAAGCCUGAUCCAGCCAUGCCGCGUGAGUGAUGAAGGCCCUAGGGUUGUAAAGCUCUUUCACCGGUGAAGAUAAUGACGGUAACCGGAGAAGAAGCCCCGGCUAACUUCGUGCCAGCAGCCGCGGUAAUACGAAGGGGGCUAGCGUUGUUCGGAUUUACUGGGCGUAAAGCGCACGUAGGCGGACUAUUAAGUCAGGGGUGAAAUCCCGGGGCUCAACCCCGGAACUGCCUUUGAUACUGGUAGUCUUGAGUUCGAGAGAGGUGAGUGGAAUUCCGAGUGUAGAGGUGAAAUUCGUAGAUAUUCGGAGGAACACCAGUGGCGAAGGCGGCUCACUGGCUCGAUACUGACGCUGAGGUGCGAAAUCGUGGGGAGCAAACAGG
rnacentral:rRNA from 1 species